UCCCUGGAGGACUAGUGGUUAGGCAUCGGCGCACUCACCGCUGCAGCCCGGGUUCGAUUCCUGGCUAGAGAA